rnacentral:rRNA from 1 species
GUGAGUCAUCGAAUCUUUGAACGCACCUUGCGCCCCUUGGCAUUCCGAGGGGCACACCCGUUUGAGUGUCGUGAAAUUCUCAAAAGCCCUUCCUUUGGUGGAGAGGAUUUUGGACUUGGAGGUCAUUUGCUGGUUUCACCUUGAAGCGAGCUCCUCCCAAAUGGAUUAGUGGGGUCUGCUUUGCCGAUCCUUGACGUGAUAAUAUGUUUCUACGUCUCGGGUUUCUGCACUGUACCUCUGCUUCUAACCGUCUCAUUGACAACGAUGGUGUUCCGGUCACCGCUGAUUCAUCGGUGGGAGGCUCGACCCACAAAAACGACCUUGACCUCAAAUCGGGUGGGACUACCCGCUGAACUUAA